AUGAACGCUGGCGGCGUGCCUAAUACAUGCCAGUCGCGCGAACAGACGAGGAGCUUGCUCCUCUGACGUUAGCGGCGGACGGGUGAGUAACACGUGGAUAACCUACCUAUAAGACUGGGAUAACUUCGGGAAACCGGAGCUAAUACCGGAUAAUAUAUUGAACCGCAUGGUUCAAUAGUGAAAGACGGUUUUGCUGUCACUUAUAGAUGGAUCCGCGCCGCAUUAGCUAGUUGGUAAGGUAACGGCUUACCAAGGCAACGAUGCGUAGCCGACCUGAGAGGGUGAUCGGCCACACUGGAACUGAGACACGGUCCAGACUCCUACGGGAGGCAGCAGUAGGGAAUCUUCCGCAAUGGGCGAAAGCCUGACGGAGCAACGCCGCGUGAGUGAUAAAGGUCUUCGGAUCGUAAAACUCUGUUAUUAGGGAAGAACAAAUGUGUAAGUAACUAUGCACGUCUUGACGGUACCUAAUCAGAAAGCCACGGCUAACUACGUG
rnacentral:rRNA from 1 species